rnacentral:rRNA from 1 species
UACGUAGGGGGCAAGCGUUGUCCGGAUUUACUGGGCGUAAAGGGCGCGUAGGCGGCCUUCUAAGUCGGACGUGAAAUCCCUCGGCUUAACCGAGGAACUGCGUCCGAUACUGAAAGGCUUGAAUCCGGGAGAGGGAUGUGGAAUUCCAGGUGUAGCGGUGAAAUGCGUAGAUAUCUGGAGGAACACCGGUGGCGAAGGCGGCAUCCUGGACCGGCAUUGACGCUGAGGCGCGAAAGCUAGGGGAGCAAACGGG